CAACAGCGUAUAUUAAAGUCGUUGCAGUUAAAAAGCUCGUAGUUGGAUUUGUGGCGUACGGUGUGUUCCGGGCACUUGUUGUCUGAGUAACCUGCUGUUGCCAUCCUUGGGUGGAACCUGUGUGGCAUUAGGUUGUCGUGCAGGGGAUGCCCAUCAUUUACUGUGAAAAAAUUAGAGUGUUCAAAGCAGGCUUAUGCCGUUGAAUAUAUUAGCAUGGAAUAAUGAGAUAGGACUUUUUUGCUAUUUUGUUGGUUUGCGCAAAGAGGUAAUGAUUAAUAGGGACAGUUGGGGGUAUUCGUAUUCCAUUGUCAGAGGUGAAAUUCUUGGAUUUUUGGAAGACGAACUACUGCGAAAGCAUUUACCAAGGAUGUUUUCAUUAA
rnacentral:rRNA from 1 species